CGGGUAAAGGCACAGGUGAUCUCAGGGAGGAAGAAGAGAGGAGCCCCCACAACUCACAGACGAACAAACAAAGGUUUGUCAACUGGCAGAGAAAUGAGUCACUGAUCAGAGGUGCUGAGGAGCACAGGAGAUACUUGGAAAUGGAUGUUCGAAGGUUGGAAAUCCCUGCUGAGCUUGCGGCCCUCCUCCGCUUGGCUGAGGGU